rnacentral:rRNA from 1 species
GGAAUAUUGUACAAUGGGCGCAAGCCUGAUCCAGCUAUCCCGCGUGCAGGAUGACGGCCCUAUGGGUUGUAAACUGCUUUUAGAAGGGAAGAAACCCCUGGAUUUAUCCGGGGCUGACGGUACCUUCAGAAUACGCCCCGGCUAACUCCGUGCCAGCAGCCGCGGUAAUACGGAGGGUGCAAGCGUUAUCCGGAAUCACUGGGUUUAAAGGGUGCGUAGGCGGCGCCAUAAGUCAGAUGUGAAAGCCCACCGCUUAACGGUGGAAUUGCAUUUGAUACUGUGGUGCUUGAAUCAGGCUGAGGUUAGCGUAAUGUGUCAUGUAGCGGUGAAAUGCAUAGAUAUGACAUAGAACACCAAUUGCGAAGGCAGCUGACUAGACCUGUAUUGACGCUGAGGCACGAAAGCGUGGGGAGCG